AAGGCAUGGGACACCACCCCAGGCUUGAAUAUCCGGUGAGCUUCAGCCUUUGGGAGCAGUGCUGGCCCGAAACUCAAGAU